GUGGGACUGUGUGGAUGUUUACCGAGGGGCUUUAAUUCCAUAGUCACCCUAAGAGGGUUGACCCUCACACUCUCAAGAAGUGUCUGUCACUUGAGGCUAGCAUAGCUCCUGUGGGUUGUCACAGCCUGCUCCACCCAACAGCCUAGCGUCCUGAAGGUAUUUAUCCAGUGGCAAGCAGUUACCUCAUCUCCCCUUAGGCAAGUUCAAAGACACUGAAGGCCUGACCAUUUUCUCACCUUCAGUGGGUGAACUGAUUCUAACUGCCCAGGCCAUUUCUACCACUGACUAACUUGUUGGUGAAGUACUCAAUGCAAGCCUGGGAACUGGGUCCUUGAGCAAAGUGUUGAAUUCUUGCUCCUCCAGCAUCCUAGCUUUUCCUCCAAGCCUCAGGCUUCCCACUCUGCCCUGCAGCACCAACUCUCAACCCUAACUGCUGAUUGGAAGACAAGAAACACCCGUGCUCAGGCAGCAUCCCUCCUUCCAGACCUGUUAAGCCAGAAAGACUCUCAGGGCUGGUGCCUGUGCUCAGGACUGUUUUAAAGCCCCCUCCCCACCACCACCACCCUCCUAAUUGCCUCUUAUGUGCAGCCCAAGUGAGAUCUGCCACUGUACACACCUCAUUUAGCCAUCCCUCCACUCCCAGUCAACACUGAGGACUCCUGACUUGGCUGGGUCUUCUCAUUCCUCUAGACUAGACACCUGCCCACGGGCACCUAUUAUCACUUACUGUCUUAGUUACUUUUCUAUUGCUGUGAUAAAACACCAUGACGGAGGCAACUUACGAAAGUGUUUACUUGCGCUCACUGUUUCAGAGGGUUAAGGUGGCAAGGCAUAUUGAUGGCGAGCGGUAGGCAUGUUGGCUGGAGGAGCAGCUGUGAGCUCACAUCUUGAUACGGGAAUAGGAAGCAGAGAGAGAGAGAGAGAGAGAGAGAGAGAGAGAGAGAGAGAGAGAGAGAGAACAGAGCUUACUGGGACUGGCAUUGGCUUUUGACACACCAAAGCUUGCUCCAGUGACACACCUCCUCUAAUAAGGCCACACCUCCUAAUCCUUCCCAAACAGUUCCACCAAGUAGGCAACAACUAUUCAAAUGUACGAGCCUGGGGGAUCAUUCUCAUUCAACACCCGCACAGACCCAGUGUCGUCUUUCCCGUGUGCCCCUACACUACACUAGGAUCAAGGACUCUGCUCAAAGCAGAAGCCUGGCCUGCAUUGUCCUCUUCCAGCCCCUUCAUUACACCUUGCAUCUAUCCUGUCAGCUUCAACGUCCUUCACACGUGCAUCCUUAUCUGGUGUUACCUACAAUGUAGGUCCCCCUGUGCCUGUGUUCACGCAAGACCACCACCAGUGCCCCCUCCCAUCCUUUGUUAAACUCCUGGCUCCUUUUGGGGUCUAUACUAUUCUUUGUAAGGCGCCCUCCUGCGUAUCUGUCACUUGGCUGGCCCAUCUUCCUCAUCUUAACGCUGCAGUCAGAGCCUGGCUGGAAAGCACCUGGUGUCCUGGCCUCCUUGACGUGGGCAGCUCGAUGAGGAAGAUAAACCUUACACCUGCCAUCUUCCUCCCUGACCUGAUCAUGUCAGUCAUCCCAAGACCUCCAUGGCCCCCUCCUCUGGAAGUCUGUCCCUGGAGGUCUGGAAGUCUACUGUAGUGUUUUCAACCUUCCAGAUGCUGCGACCCUUAUACCAUAAAAUUAUCUUGUUGCUAUCUCAUAAUUUUGCUACUGUUAUGAAUUGUAAUGUAAGUAUCUGAUGUGCCAGAUAUCUGAUAUGGGACCCCUGCAGGGGUGUGACCCCCAGGCUGAGAGCCACUGGUCUGUUGGCCAAGUCUAGCACCAUCUGCUCUUGCUUGCUCUGCUGUGCCUCCCAUCUCCAUGCAUCACAUCGAAGUCCCUUUUUCUCUUUCUUGUUCUCAGCCUGUAGUGGACACGUGAACAGUCAUUGUGAACAGAACCAUGGUAAUGUCAGAAUGUUUAUGUGAGAAAGGCUAGAGACAGUGCACUAAUAAAAGGGCCUAGGAAACUGACCUGGAAGCCAUAUCUCCAUUUAAUGUUUGACAGUUUUAGGGUUUUUUUUUUAAUUAGAUAUUGAAAAAUAAAGAUGCCUAAUUGCUUCAUGUUUGUACAAAAUUGAGAAAGAGAUUGGUUUUCCAUGUAAAAAUAUUGUUUUAGCUCAUUUAGAGGGCACUAGAAUGUUCUUUCUAGCCCAGUCCCAGGGGGAGGGAGGAAGAGGAGUGCGGAGGACAUAAGGAAGGGCUGAGCCAUGGACCAAGCUUGAGUAGGGGAUUACUUGUGUGUUCAGUUGACGAAGUGUGGGUUGCAAGCUUUGUGUCUGACUUACACACUUGCCUUCUGACCCUCCCUGUGGCAAGCUUUGUGUCUGACUUACACACUUGCCUUCUGACCCUCCCUGUGGCCCGACUCAGAACAUCAUGUUUUACAGUGUUUGCAAAUUACUAACAUUUUCAUUUAAAGAAAAAAAGAAAGAAAAGCACUUCCUGCCUUUUAAAUGUUAGCAUCUCCUAUAAAUAGACUGCACUCAGCACAAUGAGGAGUGGUAAUUCCCAGCAUGGAGUCUGACACCAACCUUAAAGAGCCACACUGUCCUCUUCUCUCCUGUCAGUUACAUUGUUUUUGGAGUUUUGGAAGCGGCGCCAGGCAGAGCUCGAAUAUGAAUGGGACACCGUUGAGCUACAGCAAGAGGAACAGGCCCGGCCAGAGUAUGAGGCCCAGUGCAAUCACGUGGUGAUAAACGAGAUCACUCAGGAGGAGGAGCGCAUCCCAUUUACCACCUGUGGGAAGUGCAUCCGGGUCACGCUGUGUGCGAGCGCCGUCUUCUUCUGGGUAAGAUGUCUCGAGCCUCUGUUUGAGUAACUGUUUAACUUUCUUUUUAUUACAUGACACUUUUUUUUUUUUUUUUUUUUUUUUACUAUUUCCUUUAAAAUAUUGAGGGAAGUGCCAGGCAGGUAUGGUGCCUACAUGGUCUCCUCUAGAAAGGUGUAGUUGCUGCAUGGUCCCAGAGAGAGAUGGCGCUAGAGCACUCCCUGGCUGUCACGUGGAGUAUUGCCAGGUCAGGGUUCCUUCUCCAUUGUCCACUGUGGCUCUUCUGUUCCUUCACUCAAUUCCUGUCAGCAGAUCAGGGGUUUCCGGCAAUUACUGAAGAGCCCAAGUAGGAGGCAGUGAGAACUCUAAGAAAUUGCAGCAGCAACAACUAAAUGUUAAUUAGUUAAUGUUUAAAUCUUAGGAAUUACCAUACCAAAAAGAUAAGCCAAAGAAGAAGGGAUAAGGGCUGGUGAGAUGGCUCAGUGGGUAAGAGCACCCGACUGCUCUUCCAAAGGUCAGGAGUUCAAAUCCCAGCAACCACAUGGUGGCUCACAACCAUCUGUAAUGAGAUCUGACAUCCUCUUCUGGAAUGUCUGAGGACAGCUACAGUGUACUUACAUAUAAUAAAUAAAUCUUUAAAAAAAAAAAAAAAAGAAGAAGAAGGGAUAAAAACU
rnacentral:lncRNA from 1 species